GGUGGAGCCUCCACCUCUCUUAGACCUCAUUUAAGGACUGACUGCCACUGAGGAAGGAUCUCUUUCUGGAGUUCCCUCUUUGGUGAAGCUUUCCCCUGUGCACCUAGAAUCUUCUGAUACAGGCAGGUGGAUCCCAGCCAAGCCCACAGUCACACCAUUAUUUUGGACAUUGGUUAUCAGCAAUGCACACAGAAAAGCUGGGUUAGGAGUGCAGCUUUCAGAAGAAACAGUACUGAUAAACCUGGAAAUACCCUCAGACCUCCUAUGACACAGGAACAACACGACUGGCUUUUGCAGGCUGUUAUGGACAAAGAUAGCACUUGGCAGGGAGAAGAGCUGAACAAGAGCCAUAGCAGAGCUGAGCUGGGAGUCCACCAGGUAUUUUGCCAUCCCCAGCCAGACCAAACUUGAAGGAACGGAUAGAGGUCCUGCAGUCCACUGAUCACUGGGGAGGGAAUAUCAGUUUGUGUCCUGCUCAGGAAUUGUAUCUGCACUGAAAUAGAAGAGAAAACCUUAGAAACCUUGUUGGUGUUUGAUGCUACUGAUGUUUGUCACUAAAUGUGGGAUAUGUAGGUAUUCGAGGCCAGGUUGGAUGGGGGCCUUGGGCAACCUGAUCUGGUGCCUGAUUUUGUG
rnacentral:lncRNA from 1 species